rnacentral:rRNA from 1 species
AGUCGAACGAGGUUCAUUUGGUGGUAACACCAGAGAAGACCUAGUGGCGAACGGGUGCGUAACACGUGAGCAACCUGCCCCGAAGACUGGGAUAACACCGGGAAACCGGUGCUAAUACCGGAUACCCCCAUUGAUUCGCAUGGAUCGAUGAGGAAAUGGAUUCCGCUUCGGGAGGGGCUCGCGGCCUAUCAGCUUGUUGGUGGGGUAACGGCCUACCAAGGCGACGACGGGUAGCUGGUCUGAGAGGACGAUCAGCCACACUGGGACUGAGACACGGCCCAGACUCCUACGGGAGGCAGCAGUAGGGAAUCUUGCGCAAUGGGCGAAAGCCUGACGCAGCAACGCCGCGUGGGGGAUGAAGGCCUUCGGGUUGUAAACUCCUUUCAGUGGGAACGAAAAUGACGGUACCCACAAAAGAAGCCCCGGCUAACUACGUGCCAGCAGCCGCGGUGAUACGUAGGGGGCAAGCGUUGUCCGGAUUUACUGGGCGUAAAGAGCUCGUAGGCGGCUUGGCAAGUCGGGUGUGAAACCUCCAGGCUCAACCUGGAGACGCCACUCGAUACUGCUAUGGCUAGAGUCCGGUAGGGGACCAUGGAAUUCCUGGUGUAGCGGUGAAAUGCGCAGAUAUCAGGAGGAACACCAGUAGCGAAGGCGGUGGUCUGGGCCGGUACUGACGCUGAGGAGCGAAAGCGUGGGGAGCGAACAGGAUUAGAUACCCUGGUAGUCCACGCCGUA